CUAUCAACCCGAGCCAGUUAGAGAGUACGGGGCGUUCACAGACUCCCUUAGCCCACCAGCAUGCUGCAUAUAAGGAGUUUGUCGAGCAUAGGAAUCUCGAGGUGCGGGAGUACUUGAAACGAGUGAAGGCAAACGAUGAUUACAACCGUCAGAUGAUGACGGCUAUGUUGGCGUCUUGGACUAACCACACGGAUCCACCACAAA